rnacentral:rRNA from 1 species
GUGAGGAAUUUUCCGCAAUGGGCGAAAGCCUGACGGAGCAAUGCCGCGUGAAGGAUGAAGGCCUAUGGGUUGUAAACUUCUUUUCUCAGAAAAGAAUUAUUACGGUAUCUGAGGAAUAAGCAUCGGCUAACUCUGUGCCAGCAGCCGCGGUAAGACAGAGGAUGCAAGCGUUAUCCGGAAUGAUUGGGCGUAAAGCGUCUGUAGGUUGCUUAAAAAGUAUUCUGUCAAAGAUUAGGGCUUAACCCUAGAUAGGCAGAAUAAACUUUUAAGCUAGAGUUUGGUAGAGGCAGAGGGAAUUCCCGGUGGAGCGGUAAAAUGCGUAGAUAUCGGGAGGAACACCAAAGGCGAAGGCACUCUGCUGGGCCAAUACUAACACUGAGAGACGAAAGCGAGGGGAGCAAAUGGGAUUAGAAACCCUGGUAGUCC